CGGAGGGGCUAGCGUUGUUCGGAAUUACUGGGCGUAAAGCGCGCGUAGGCGGCUUUGUAAGUUAGAGGUGAAAGCCCGGAGCUCAACUCCGGAAUUGCCUUUAAGACUGCAUCGCUAGAAUCAUGGAGAGGUUAGUGGAAUUCCGAGUGUAGAGGUGAAAUUCGUAGAUAUUCGGAAGAACACCAGUGGCGAAGGCGACUAACUGGACAUGUAUUGACGCUGAGGUGCGAAAGCGUGGGGGAGCAAACAGGAUU
rnacentral:rRNA from 1 species